CGUCAGCUCGUGUCGUGAGAUGUUGGGUUAAGUCCCGCAACGAGCGCAACCCUUAUUGUUAGUUGCCAUCAUUCAGUUGGGCACUCUAGCAAGACUGCCGGUGACAAACCGGAGGAAGGUGGGGAUGACGUCAAAUCAUCAUGCCCCUUAUGACCUGGGCUACACACGUGCUACAAUGGGAAGUACAACGAGUUGCGAA
rnacentral:rRNA from 1 species